UGCCAGCCGCCGCGGUAAGACGAACCGUGCGAACGUUGUUCGGAAUCACUGGGCUUAAAGGGCGCGUAGGCGGGCAAUCAAGUCAGCGGUGAAAUCCUCCGGCUCAACCGGAGAAGUGCCCCUGAUACUGAUGGCCUCGAGGGAGGUAGGGGCAGAUGGAACUUCCUGUGGAGCGGUGAAAUGUGUAGAUACAGGAAGGAACGCCGGUGGCGAAAGCGAUCUGCUGGACCUCUUCUGACGCUGAGGCGCGAAAGCUAGGGGAGCGAAGAGGAUUAGAUA
rnacentral:rRNA from 1 species